CUCAAAGAUUAAGGGCCAUGCAUUKUCCUARGUAUUAAGCAAUCUAUACUGUGAAACUGCGAAUGGCUCAUUAAAUCAGUUAUCGUUUAUUUGAUAGUACCUUACUACUUGGAUAACCGUGGUAAUUCUAGAGCUAAUACAUGCUAAAAACCCCGACUUCGGAAGGGGUGUAUUUAUUAGAUAAAAAACCAAUGCCYUUCGGGGCUCCUUGGUGAAUCAUGAUAACUUAACGAAUCGCAUGGCCUUGCGCCGGCGAUGGUUCAUUCAAAUUUCUGCCCUAUCAACUUUCGAUGGUAGGAUAGUGGCCUACCAUGGUAUCAACGGGUAACGGGGAAUUAGGGUUCUAUUCCGGAGAGGGAGCCUGAGAAACGGCUACCACAUCCAAGGAAGGCAGCAGGCGCGCAAAUUACCCAAUCCCGACACGGGGAGGUAGUGACAAUAAAUACUGAUACAGGGCUCUUUUGGGUCUUGUAAUUGGAAUGAGUACAAUUUAAAUACCUUAACGAGGAACAAUUGGAGGGCAAGUCUGGUGCCAGCAGCCGCGGUAAUUCCAGCUCCAAUAGCGUAUAUUAAAGUUGUUGCAGUUAAAAAGCUCGUAGUUGAACCUUGGGCCUGGCUGGCCGGUCUGCCUCACCGCAUGUACUGGUUCGGCCGGGCCUUUCCUCCUGGGGAUCCGCAUGCCCUUCACUGGGUGUGUUGGGGAACCAGGACUUUUACUUUGAAAAAAUUAGAGUGUUCAAAGCAGGCCUUUGCUCGAAUACAUUAGCAUGGAAUAAUAGAAUAGGACGUGCGGUCCUAUUUUGUUGGUUUCUAGGACCGCCGUAAUGAUUAAUAGGGAUAGUCGGGGGCAUCAGUAUUCAGUUGUCAGAGGUGAAAUUCUUGGAUUUACUGAAGACUAACUACUGCGAAAGCAUUUGCCAAGGAUGUUUUCAUUAAUCAGUGAACGAAAGUUAGGGGAUCGAAGACGAUCAGAUACCGUCGUAGUCUUAACCGUAAACUAUGCCGACUAGGGAUCGGGCGAUGUUAUUCUUUUGACUCGCUCGGCACCUUACGAGAAAUCAAAGUCUUUGGGUUCUGGGGGGAAGUAUGUUGCCCCACG
rnacentral:rRNA from 1 species